AAACCAGCACCUCAAGUGGUCAGGAUGAUUAUUGGGCCUAAAGCAUCCGUAGCCGGCUUUGUAAGUUUUCGGUUAAAUCCAUAUGCUCAACAUAUGGGCUGCCGGGAAUACUGCACAGCUAGGGAGUGGGAGAGGUAGACGGUACUCGGUAGGUAGGGGUAAAAUCCUUUGAUCUAGUGAUGACCACCUGUGGCGAAGGCGGUCUACCAGAACACGUUCGACGGUGAGGGAUGAAAGCUGGGGGAGCAAACCGGAUUAGAAACCCUGGUAGUCC
rnacentral:rRNA from 1 species